rnacentral:tRNA from 1 species
GGGACUGUAGCUCAGUGGUAGAGUGCUUUCCUAGCAUGCAUGAGGCACUGGGUUCGAUUCUCAGCACCUCA